rnacentral:rRNA from 1 species
UACAGAGGUCUCAAGCGUUGUUCGGAUUCAUUGGGCGUAAAGAGCUCGUAGGCGGCUUGUCGCGUCGGCUGUGAAAACCUGGGGCUCAACCCCGGGCCUGCAGCCGAUACGGGCAGCUAGAAUUCGGUAGGGGAGACUGGAAUUCCUGGUGUAGCGGUGAAAUGCGCAGAUAUCAGGAGGAACACCGGUGGCGAAGGCGGGUCUCUGGGCCGAAAUGACGCUGGAGGAGCGAAAGCGUGGGGAGCAAACAGG